GCUGGGCAAAUGCUACUUUCCUCAUUGCUCCGAAGUUCUGGAUAAGUUUAUGGAGGAUGACUUACCAGACUUAUUUUUCCUUGAAAAGGGCACUCCAGAGGAACAAAAGAUCAAGCGGAGGCGAUUUAAGGAGCUCAAAGAUGAUGUUCAAAGGGCAUUUAAUAAAGACAAGGCUGGACUUCACCGCUCUGGCUCGUCUUCCUCAUCAUCUUCCACAACUUUUAACGACGGUGCAAGUGUCAAAGCUAGGAACCUAUGAUAGUAACUAGGUUUUAUCCUACAUCCUUAGACUCAGUUUUGUAUCUAAGAUAAGUAGUCUUCAAAACACUUAUCUUAUAAAAUUUUCAUUAUAGUGGCUGCUCUAUCG
rnacentral:misc_RNA from 1 species